GACGAACGCUGGCGGCGUGCUUAACACAUGCAAGUCGAACGGAAAGGCCCUGCUUUUGUGGGGUGCUCGAGUGGCGAACGGGUGAGUAACACGUGAGUAACCUGCCCUUGACUUUGGGAUAACUUCAGGAAACUGGGGCUAAUACCGGAUAGGAGCUCCUGCUGCAUGGUGGGGGUUGGAAAGUUUCGGCGGUUGGGGAUGGACUCGCGGCUUAUCAGCUUGUUGGUGGGGUAGUGGCUUACCAAGGCUUUGACGGGUAGCCGGCCUGGGAGGGGGACCGGCCACAUUGGGACUGCGAUACGGCCCAGACUCCUACGGGAGGCAGCAGUGGGGAAUAUUGCACAAUGGGCGGAAGCCUGAUGCAGCAACGCCGCGUGCGGGAUGACGGCCUUCGGGUUGUAAACCGCUUUCGCCUGUGACGAAGCGUGAGUGACGGUAAUGGGUAAAGAAGCACCGGCUAACUACGUG
rnacentral:rRNA from 1 species